rnacentral:rRNA from 1 species
CGGUAGCAGGAAGUGCUUGCACUUCGCUGACGAGUGGCGGACGGGUGAGUAAUACUUAGGAACAUGCCUUUGUGUGGGGGAUAACCAUUGGAAACGAUGGCUAAUACCGCAUAAUGUCUUUGGACCAAAGAGGGCUUUCGGGCUCUCGCGCAAAGAGUGGCCUAAGUGAGAUUAGCUUGUUGGUGAGGUAAAGGCUCACCAAGGCGACGAUCUCUAGCUGUUCUGAGAGGAAGAUCAGCCACACUGGGACUGAGACACGGCCCAGACUCCUACGGGAGGCAGCAGUGGGGAAUAUUGCACAAUGGGGGCAACCCUGAUGCAGCCAUGCCGCGUGUGUGAAGAAGGCCUUCGGGUUGUAAAGCACUUUCAGUUGUGAGGAAAGGUUGAUGGUUAAUACCCAUCAGCUGUGACGUUAGCAACAGAAGAAGCACCGGCUAACUCCGUGCCAGCAGCCGCGGUAAUACGGAGGGUGCGAGCGUUAAUCGGAAUUACUGGGCGUAAAGCGCACGCAGGCGGUUUGUUAAGCUAGAUGUGAAAGCCCCGGGCUCAACCUGGGAAUAGCAUUUAGAACUGGCAGGCUAGAGUCUUGGAGAGGGGAGUGGAAUUUCUGGUG